rnacentral:rRNA from 1 species
AGUGAACGCUGGCGGUAGGCCUAACACAUGCAAGUCGAACGAGUGGCGGACGGGUGAGGAAUACAUCGGAAUCUACUCUGUCGUGGGGGAUAACGUAGGGAAACUUUCGCUAAUACCGCAUACGAUUGAAUGAGCCGAUGUCGGAUUAGCUAGUUGGCGGGGUAAAGGCUCACCAAGGCGACGAUCCGUAGCUGGUCUGAGAGGAUGAUCAGCCACACUGGAACGGAGAUACGGUCCAGACUCCUACGGGAGGCAGCAGUGGGGAAUAUUGGACAAUGGGCGCAAGCCUGAUCCAGCCAUACCGCGUGUGUGAAGAAGGCCUUCGGGUUGUAAAGCACUUUUGUCGGGAAAGCGGUACCCGAAGAAUAAGCACCGGCUAACUUCGUGCCAGCAGCCGCGGUAAUUC